UACAGAGGUCUCAAGCGUUUGUUCGGAUUCAUUGGGCGUAAAGGGUGCGUAGGUGGCGCCGUAAGUCAGGUGUGAAAUUUCGGAGCUUAACUCCGAAACUGCAUUUGAUACUGCGGUGCUUGAGGACUGGAGAGGAGACUGGAAUUUACGGUGUAGCGGUGAAAUGCGUAGAUAUCGUAAGGAAGACCAGUGGCGAAGGCGGGUCUCUGGACCGGUACUGACGCUGAGGCGCGAAAGCGUGGGGGAGCAAACGGG
rnacentral:rRNA from 1 species